AGAUUUGUCUAAAUGAAAAAAUGCAGAUUAAUGUAAUAUUUUAGCAAUCAUUAUAUUAAAGUAUGACUGGUCUUCUCAUAUAGAAUUCAGUACUCAAAUUUGAAUAUUAUCUCUUUUUUAGGAAAUGGGGGGAUUUUAUUAACUGAGAAUGAGGAAAUAAGAGAUGCUUUCCAAGAGCUAAGCUAUUAAUUUAGGAGGUUUCGGAAGAGACACAGAUCCUUUCCGAGUCCAUCCCUCCUAUGAAUAGUUACACUGUGAGCAGUUACACUGAAAACUUCAUUCAUCCGCAGAAUGACUUCCAAUCUCAAAAGUCAAUGUCCAGUGACUUCAGAAAUUGACUCUUCAGAAAGGUUAUUUCCUCGCUGACCUGUGCAAAUGUUAUGUGUGUGGCAAGAAGGAAAGAUUUUCUGAAUCCUGAUGCUCAUGCCAGUAUCCAUAACAGGAACUCUGAAAACUAGUGAUUAUGAAGGAGGGGGCUGCUGGUGUCUUGGUGCAACGCUGCCAGGUUAUGACUUCUGAUAACAUGAAAGAUGAAAGAAGAUUGUAGUGAAGCCCAAUAAUUACAAUUUCAAGUGCUGCUUUUUUUUUUUUUUUUUUUAACUUAAAAUGUCCCAAUGCAUGAAAAGACACUGAACAAACUGUUGAGUUGUGGCUAUAAUCAAGUUGGAUUUAUCUUUUGUACAAAUAGCUUUCCUAGUCAUUUAUACUAAAUCGCUGGGAAUUUUAUAGCACUUCACUUCUGAGGUUGGAAAAUCCCUCCUCUGGCAUUCUCAUGGAACCACUGCCCUGAUGGUUUCCAGAAAGUGAAACUUAUUAUUUCCCUGGCAUUGGGAGCUGUUUCUUAGUGAUCAUGACUC
rnacentral:lncRNA from 1 species